rnacentral:rRNA from 1 species
AGAUUGAACGCUGGCGGCAGGCCUAACACAUGCAAGUCGAGCGGUAGAGAGGUGCUUGCAUCUCUUGAGAGCGGCGGACGGGUGAGUAAUGCCUAGGAAUCUGCCUAGUGGUGGGGGAUAACGUUCGGAAACGGACGCUAAUACCGCAUACGCCCUUCGGGGGAAAGCCGGGGACCUUCGGGCCUGGCGCGAUUGGAUGAGCCCAUGUCGGAUUAGCUAGUUGGUGAGGUAAAGGCUCACCAAGGCAACGAUCCUUAGCUGGUCUGAGAGGAUGAUCAGCCACACUGGGACUGAGACACGGCCCAGACUCCGUACGGGAGCAGCAGUAGGAAUA